GACGAACGCUGGCGGCGUGCUUAACACAUGCAAGUCGAACGGAAGGGCCCUGCUUUUGUGGGGUGCUCGAGUGGCGAACGGGUGAGUAACACGUGAGUAACCUGCCCUUGACUUUGGGAUAACUUCAGGAAACUGGGGCUAAUACCGGAUAGGAGCUCCUGCUGCAUGGCGGGGGUUGGAAAGUUUCGGCGGUUGGGGAUGGACUCGCGGCUUAUCAGCUUGUUGGUGGGGUAGUGGCUUACCAAGGCUUUGACGGGUAGCCGGCCUGAGAGGGUGACCGGCCACAUUGGGACUGAGAUACGGCCCAGACUCCUACGGGAGGCAGCAGUGGGGAAUAUUGCACAAUGGGCGGAAGCCUGAUGCAGCAACGCCGCGUGCGGGAUGACGGCCUUCGGGUUGUAAACCGCUUUCGCCUGUGACGAAGCGUGAGUGACGGUAAUGGGUAAAGAAGCACCGGCUAACUACGUG
rnacentral:rRNA from 1 species